UGGGGAAUUGUUCACAAUGGGCGCAAGCCUGAUGACGCAACGCCGCGUGGGGGAUGAAGGCCUUCGGGUCGUAAACCCCUGUCGAACGGGACGAAAGACUCUGGAGCUAAUCAUCCGGAGAGUGACGGUACCGUUAAAGGAAGCCACGGCUAACUCUGUGCCAGCAGCCGCGGUAAUACAGAGGUGGCAAGCGGUGUUCGGAAUUACUGGGCGUAAAGGGCGCGUAGGCGGCCUACUAAGUCAGACGUGAAAUCCCCCGGCUUAACCUGGGAACUGCGUCUGAUACUGGAAGGCUAGAGUAUGGGAGAGGGAUGUAGAAUUCCAGGUGUAGCGGUGAAAUGCGUAGAUAUCUGGAGGAAUACCGGUGGCGAAGGCGGCAUCCUGGACCAUUACUGACGCUGAGGCGCGAAAGCUAGGGGAGCAAACGGG
rnacentral:rRNA from 1 species